CUCUGGUCCAGGGCGUUAAAUAUGUCUUCAUGGAGGAGCGUGUGGUAACACCGUGGACCAGAGCUAUCCAAUACAUAGCUCUGGUCCAGGGCAUUAAAUAUGUCUUCAUGGAGGAACGUGUGGUAACACUGUGGACCAGAGCUAUCCAAUACAUAGCUCUGGUCCAGGGCAUUAUAUAUGUCUUCGUGGAGGAACGUGUGGUAACACCGUGGACCAGAGUUACCCAAUACAUAGCUCUGGUCCAGGGCAUUAAAUAUGUCUUAAUGGAGGAGCGUGUGGUAACACCGUGGACCAGAGCUACCCAAUACAUAGCUCUGGUCCAUGGCAUUAACUAUGUCUUCGUGGGGGAAUGUGUGGUAACACCGUGGACCAGAGCUAUCCAAUACAUAGCUCUGGUCCAGGGCAAUAAAUAUGUCUUCAUGGAGGAAUGUGUGGUAACACCGUGGACCAGAGCUAUGAACAUGUUACAGAUGUGUAGAGACAGAAAAAAAUAAUACAUAUAUUUUUUAUUUUUCUCACAACCUUGAUAAGAAAAUACAAAUGUCAGUAGAACCAAUUGUACACCUUGUAGGUGAUUAAUAUCAUUAAACAUUGGGGUUAUUAAGGGCUUUAAUAACAACAGAAAUCAAUAUAUUACCUUUUCGACAGACUCUCACAUCAACUCAUCCCAUUGGCAGGAAAAACGUUGUGGUAUAAACGGUUAACAAACCUUCCUCCAAUACCGCAUGUCAAUUACCAUGAUAACCAACACAGUAUAUAUACACUGACAUACAAUACCAGGAUAUAUACACACUGAUUUACAAUACCAGUAUAUAUACACACUGACAUACAAUACCAGUAUAUAUACACACUGAUUUACAAUACCAGUAUAUAUACACACUGACAUACAAUACCAGUAUAUAUACACUGACAUACAAUACCAGUUUAUAUACACUGAUAUACAAUACCAGUAUAUAUACACUGACAUACAAUACCAGUUUAUAUACACACUGACAUACAAUACCAGUAUAUAUACACUGACAUACAAUACCAGUAUAUAUACACUGAUAUACAAUACCAGUAUAUAUACACUGAUAUACAAUACCAGUAUAUAUACACUGACAUACAAUACCAGUAUAUAUACACUGAUAUACAAUACCAGUAUAUAUACACUGAUAUACAAUACCAGUAUAUAUACACUGAUAUACAAUGCCAGUAUAUAUAUUUCCAUGUAGUUUGUUUUGGAAGGUAUCCAAAGAUGUCAAGUCUACCCUCAGACACUGUGCUUUUUUUUUUCUCACAUAUUGGACUAUACAGUAUAUUGGGAAAGUGUCUUCUAGCAUAGGGUUGUAAUCCCAAAUGGCACCC
rnacentral:lncRNA from 1 species